GAUGAACGCUGGCGGCGUGCUUAACACAUGCAAGUCGAGCGCUGAAGCUUGGUGCUUGCACUGGGUGGAUGAGUGGCGAACGGGUGAGUAAUACGUGAGUAACCUGCCCUUGACUCUGGGAUAAGCCUGGGAAACUGGGUCUAAUACUGGAUAUGACAUGUCACCGCAUGGUGGUGUGUGGAAAGGGUUUUACUGGUUUUGGAUGGGCUCACGGCCUAUCAGCUUGGUGGUGGGGUAAUGGCUCACCAAGGCGACGACGGGUAGCCGGCUUGUGAGGGUGACCGGCCACACUGGGACUGAGACACGGCCCAGACUCCUACGGGAGGCAGCAGUGGGGAAUAUUGCACAAUGUGCGAAAGCCUGAUGCAGCGACGCCGCGGGAGGGAUGACGGCCUUCGGGUUGUAAACCUCUUUCAGCACGGAAGAAGCGAAAGUGACGGUACGUGCAGAAGAAGCGCCGGCUAACUACGUGUCAGCCGCCGCCGUAA
rnacentral:rRNA from 1 species